UGAAGAGGCGACUAGGGUUCCAAGGAUCUUUGAUUUUCCUUUUCUUGCUGUGAUAGAAGUCUCGAUUGAAGGUAGUUGUCGACAGAAGCUUUAGGGCAAUGAGGUGGAUUUCCAGCAGCCACCUUGUUUAUGGCUGUGAACUUGAGGACCUUGACGCGAGACGAUAUCUCGACGUCAGAUUUGGACCGGAUACGAUCCUUUCU